rnacentral:rRNA from 1 species
UACGGAGGGUGCGAGCGUUGUCCGGAAUUACUGGGCGUAAAGGGCUCGUAGGUGGCCAACUAAGUCAGACGUGAAAUCCCUCGGCUUAACCGGGGAACUGCCCUCCAAACUGCUUCGCUUGAGACCGGGAGAGGUGAGUGGAAUUCCCAGUGUAGCGGUGAAAUGCGUAGAUAUUGGGAGGAACACCAGUGGCGAAGGCGGCUCACUGGACCGGUACUGACGCUGAUGCGCGAAAGCUAGGGGAGCAAACAGG